CAAUCGUGAAGUGGAAUGAAAUUUAUUGGAUAUUUCAUACUUUUUUAACAAAUAAAAAACUGAAAAGUGGGGUGUGCAAUAUUAUUCGGCCCCUUUACUUUCAGUGCAGCAAACUCACUCCAGAAGUUCAGUGAGGAUCUCUGAAUGAUCCAAUGUUGUCCUAAAUGACUGAUGAUGAUAAAUAGAAUCCACCUGUGUGUAAUCAAGUCUCCGUAUAAAUGCUCCUGCUCUGUGAUAGUCUCAGGGUUCUGUUUAAAGUGCAGAGAGCAUCAUGAAGACCAAGGAACACACCAGGCAGGUCCGAGAUACUGUUGUGGAGAAGUUUAAAGCCGGAUUUGGAUACAAAAAGAUUUCCCAAGCUUUAAACAUCUCAAGGAGCACUGUGCAAGCAAUCAUAUUGAAAUGGAAGGAGUAUCAGACCACUGCAAAUCUACCAAGACCCGGCCGUCCCUCUAAACUUUCACCUCCAACAAGGAGAAGACUGAUCAGAGAUGCAGCCAAAGAGGCCCAUGAUCACUCUGGAUGAACAGCAGAGAUCUACAGCUGAGGUGGGAGAGUCUGUCCAUAGGACAACAAUCAGUCGUACACUGCACAAAUCUGGCCUUUAUGGAAGAGUGGCAAGAAGAAAGCCAUUUGUCAAAGAUAUCCAUAAAAAGUCUCGUUUGAAGUUUGCCACAAGCCACCUGGGAGACACACCAAACAUGUGGAAGAAGGUGCUCUGGUCAGAUGAAACCAAAAUCCAACUUUUUGGCCACAAUGCAAAACGAUAUGUUUGGCGUAAAAGCAACACAGCUCAUCACCCUGAACACACCAUCCCCACUGUCAAACAUGGUGGUGGCAGCCUCAUGGUUUGGGCCUGCUUUUCUUCAGCAGGGACAGGGAAGAUGGUUAAAAUUGAUGGGAAGAUGAAUGGAGCCAAAUACAGGACCAUUCUGGAAGAAAACCUGUUGGAGUCUGCAAAAGACCUGAGACUGGGACGAAGAUUUAUCUUCCAACAGGACAAUGAUCCAAAACAUAAAGCCAAAUCUACAAUGGAAUGGUUCACAAAUAAACGUAUCCAGGUGUUAGAAUGGCCAAGUCAAAGUCCAGACCUGAAUCCAAUGGAGAAUCUGUGGGCAGAGCUGAAGACUGCUGUUCACAAAUGCUCUCCAUCCAACCUCACUGAGCUCGAGCUGUUUUGCAAGGAAGAAUGGGCAAGAAUUUCAUUCUCUCCAUGUGCAAAACUGAUAGAGACAUACCCCAAGCGACUUGCAGCUGUAAAUGCAGCAAAAGGUGGCGCUACAAAGUAUUAAUGCAAGGGGGCCGAAUAAUAUUGCACGCCCCACUUUUCAGGUUUUUAUUUGUUAAAAAAGUUUAAAAUAUCCAAUGAAUUUCGUUCCACUUCACGAUUGUGUCCCACUUGUUGUUGAUUCUUGACAAAAAAUUAAAAUUUUAUAUCUUUAUGUUUGAAUCCUGAAAUGUGGCGAAAGGUUGAAAAGUUUAAGGGGGCCGAAUACUUUCACAAGGCACUGUAUUUGUGUUUUAAAUCAGGAAGGUCAGGGAUGUCCAAUCAAAACAGCAACUGUAGCUGUUAGGUUUAGUCAGCUGUUUUUAUAAAGACUAGCUUGUUCAUUCAGUGAAUCUGACAAACUACUGCAGGAAAUCAUUGCCUGCUAUCUUGUGAGUGUACUUUCUGCAUGCUGUAUUUUGUAUGUAAGAUUGUAUUCUUCUAUAAUUUUGACAGUGAUUUGAGAGCGAGUUUGGUCUUAAUGCUCUUCAGAAAAGACAGCACUUGAACACAGUGCUCAGAGUUUUCUGCGAAAAUAAUCUACUCCAUAGUGUCAUUUUAUUCUCAAAUAGAAACAGCUGCAUCUUCAUUUCAUGGGUGAAGUUUUAGUAGUGAUAAAUGAUCAGGUUUUUCAAACGCAAGAAUAAGUCAUUCCCCUCAUCCAUUAAAAAAAAAUGCACACACUCCUACUCCUCAUUUCUACCUGUCCAUUACACACGAGAUUGACUUCAAACCUCAACUACAAAUGCUUAUGACCAAUUAAAUGCACACUCACUGUUUUUUACUUUAAUGCAAACCUAAAAGAAACAGUGAAGUGUGUUAUAUCCAGACAAGUGACAAAUUAAACAAAAACCAAUAGUAACAUGUCUCGGUAAGGGUUUUGGUCACAGCUUGAAUGUGCCUUGUUUGGUUGAUGGUGAUGGAGAGCACUAUCUAACAGGCUGGUCCAGAAUCUCCCAUAAAUGUUCAGCUGGGUUGAGAUCUGGUGACAGUGAAGACCAUAACUCAUAAAUCACAUCAUUUUCGUACUCAUCAAAUCAUUCAGUGACCCCGUGUGCCCUAUGCAUGAGGGCAGUGUCAUCCUGGAAGAGACCGCUCCCAUUUGAAUAUAAAUGUUUCAUCAUAGGAUUCAGAUAAUCAGAAGAGUUUUGUAUUGAUUUGCAGUGACGUUGCCUCUAACGGGACAUGUCUCCUACUGUAGAACAGAGCCAGGGAUUCGAGUCUUUCUUUACUUUGUCACCUGACUGUAUAUCCACAAUUUAGAAUUUACGAAAACGUUAAAGAAGCAGAAUUUCCAGAGUAUGUCAGUGAUAGCACUGGACACUAAAGCUCUCCUUUUAAAACGGUUAAUCUCAUUAUGCAGCCCACCAGGCACCAUAAAUCUACACUGAAAGCAAUAUUAAUGAUAUAGCGGUAUAUUACAGCACAAUAUGUGUAGGAAGGUGGAUGGGAGAGUGUGAUGUUGUUGUAUGUCAGCGUUCUGAUUGCCUCCUCCAGUCCCACACACACAGAAGGAACCCCAGCAGUGCUUCUGCGUUACGUCAAAGAACACUACAGGCUGCGCUCACGAUGAACAGGCUUGUGGAUGCUCUGCUUUCUCUCUCGCCACAUCUUUGUCUUUGUCAGUCCUCAAAAGCAAGCCACAAGAAUCCUGUUGCUUAAUUCCUGUGUUCUUCCUGAUACUGAAUGAGGAUGGAUUACCAAGUUAGCCUCCGCCCUCAUCCACUGUGUACAUAUCUGCAAGUUGCUGACAUGAUUAGAGGCCCGAAGCCAUAUCGAUGAGAAAACAGCUUCUCGAUCAGCAGCUACCAGCUGUCAGUGUGUCUGUCUACCCCUCCGCCUCCCUUUACCUCACCUUUAGUCUGCUAUAGGUCUGGGCCAGUGCGUCCAACAACAGCAACAACCCUGCUGGCUUCACUUUACUUCACACCAAGAACCAGACAAUAUUGCUGGCAUGGUUGAACCACUACAGAGACACGUUUUGUCUGUUUUGGAAUGAACAUGAUGACAUGGUGUGUAGAGAAGAGCUGGAUGAGAUGAGCCAGUAGUAGUUUAAUGCCGAGUCCUCAGAGAGCUUUCCAAUUCCAAAACAUUAAGGACAGUUGCAACUAAAGAACACUGACGACACAUUCAAAUCUGAAUGCUCAUCAGGAAUAGCAAGACAGAUGCAGGCCUGCAAGUUGGUGUAAAUUAAAGUGUAUGAAUUUACUUUGGGGGUUUUAUUCAGAUGUGUUGCAGUGUUCAUAAUGUACAAUUCAGUACCUGUGUAGCUGAAAUGAUGGACAGAAAAGUUUUGUCUUAACUCUUCGAAGGCACAUCUGUGGACCUUUUUUUUUUUUUUUUUUUUUUUAGAAAUGUGUGACACUGUUUAAUAUCAGUCAGACAAACUAAAGCAGCAUGCAUACACAUGUGGCUGUAUAUUGUUUUCUGCAACUGUGAAAAGCACAAUCUCUGAAGUCACAUGAGUUAAAUGCAGAUUAGAUUACCACUGAAACCAAAAGGGAUUAAACUCUUUGAAACAGCAUUUGGCUCAUGCAAGACCAAAACUCCAGAAGAUUAAAUGACAGAUUGGUAAAGCCUCAGUGUACUUCAAAACUAAGUCCUCAUCAAGUCCUGCAACAGCGUCUCAAAUCGCAUGUCCAACCCGGUGAACAGAGAAAUGUGCUUGGCAAGUUUUAUUUUUACUCUUAUAAGGCAGACAAACUGUGAUUGGUCAGGUAACUAACAGCCGAAGGAAAAUCCAGACUAGUCCUUUAAAAACACUAAACAUAUCAAUCCCAAAUGGUCAUGAAAUGCUCCUGCAAUCAUUAUUAUUCAACUGACAAUGAUUUUAUGGAAUUCCUCCACGCAGUAAUCACACAUCUAUGUUCAUGAACAAGCUGGCAUUGACAAAAAGGCAUUGUACGGGGUGUAUGAAGUUUUAGCUUUUAAUAUAUCCCUUUUUCUUCCUAAAUAAGAAGUGAAGUGAAGCCAGCUGGGAAAGACCGUUCCCAGUGUCCUCGCUCUGAGCUCAGGGCUGUGCUCGCAUGUUCCCAACCUCUCAUUCCCCUGUGUCUUCCCAGUGUCCUCUCUGGAACCCUGGAGACCCUGCUGCUUCUCACUGUCAGCAUUAAUAAAGAUGAUAUAGAACUGUUCUGGCAGCACCAUCAUACUUGACUUUCAUUUCUGUGUACAUGGUAUAUGUUUUUCUUUUUAAAUCUUUGACAGAGUUCUUCUGUGGUUCUUGUUGCUUUAUUUUCUCUUCUAUGUGUAAAUGCUGUAAGAAAAAUGGAAAAAUGUAUAUAUUUGAUUUAAAAAAAAAAAAAAAGAAGCAAUGUGUUGGAUUUCAGUUUUUCUCUGUCUGAAGGUUUAUGGUUACAAAAGAUUCCCAACAAAGAACUGCUGUUUUGCUCUUUGCCCUCAGUGCAGAACUGUCUGAUCGAACUGGGCACGAUUGUUUCAGAGACUUAAGUGUUGACCGUAUUUUUCACCGUGGAAACCGUUAGCUUUUGCUUGAUUCAAAAAAACAACAAAAAACUGUGUUCAUGUUAAGUUUCUUUUGCAUUAUUUCAAUAAAUGGCUUCUUUUGCCAUCUCUUGCCA